ACACACACACAGGUUCCGGAAGUUCCCUCCCUGAGGAAUGCAAAGCUAAAGUUAUUGUUUGGGUUUAAUGUUACACUUUGUUUCAUUUUGUUUGUUUUGCUAAGUCCUAAAUCCAGUCUGGCAGCUUGUAAGGAAAAAGAAUUUAGAAGCUGCUGGGACCAUGAAAUCUUGUAAAAUACCUUGUUCCUUCCUGGUUCCACAGCAAAGCACUGAGGCUUAAGGUAUGUGGGGGGCGGGGGGGAAGCUGCCUUAUGGAAAUGCUCCUUAAAUGGUUAGUUUUUUUCGUUACGUGUAUCCACAAUACAGAAACGAUUUCUUUGAAAUGCAGACAGACCCAGGAAAUGUAAACCUGGAUCUGCUGUAUUUGGCUUGAACUUUAAGCUUGUAGCAGGCUUCCUUUGUUUUUAUUUCCUCUGAAGAUGGGUAAAAAGUAUCAAUCUAUGUAUCAGAAUUAUCUAGUGAGCAUUUAAAAUCAAAAUCCAGGCGAGGGGUGUUCUAUUAAGUUUGGGUGGUACCUGGAACGGAAACAGGGUCCUCAUAUCUGCUAAGAAAGUGCUUUACCCUUAGUUAAAUCCUCAACCCCAAUAUCUUCUGUAAAACUCAAAGUUUAUACACAAUUGCAUGGACCUGCAGUAUUUGUUCUUAGGGAGCUUACGUGGAAAAAGCUUGGACUAUAUAGUCCAGCAGUUCAAGACCAGCCUGGGCAACAUUGCAAGCCCGUAGGCUCCCCUCCUAAGAGAAAAAGUUAUGACUGGUUUGUGGGGUUACUGAAGGACUAUAAGACAUACAUGGUGUUGCCAUCUAUCAAUUCAUAGUACAGUUUACCCACUAGGCACAGUUAGUCAUUCCCAGGCUGUAUGUCUAUUUGCAUUAAUUAAUAUGCAUAAGGACAUUGGUUUGGUUCAAAGGUAAGAAUAGAGUUUUCUUUCUUGGCAGAGAGAUUUGGAGACCAUGAAGGGAUACUGAUGAAGACAGUGGUGAUGGACAGAGAAUCUGAGGGUCAGGCGCAGUAACUUAUAUACUAAGGAUGCAAAGAGACUCUAACCAGGAUGCCAGUGACACGGAGCAUGAGAUAACGCUGGUCACUACAGUCCCCUCAGACUUGCUCUGACCGUGCAGAAGGACAGACUGACUGGGUUCUCUGGCUUCCUUCAUCCUCCUUUACUCUUGGCAACCACAUCAACCUUUCAAACCACUAAACCUGACUGUUCUAGACUUGGGCCAAGCCCUACCUCACGCAAGGACUCAAGCUUCAAAAGUAAGUAACCAAAGACUCUUUUGAAAGAAGAAGGGUAAUUAUGGAGGUGCAGCUCAUUUACAUAAGUGUACUGGGCCCUGGGUUCCUUCCCCAGCAGCAUAGGAAAAGGAGGAGGGGGGAAGAAAAGGAAGAAUAAAAACAGAAAGGAAGGGGAUCCAAGCUCUUAUGAGCUAAGACUCUACCUACUACCCACACUGCUCACUUUGCUGUGGAGAAUCUGAGGCACAAAGUGGACUAAGGAAGAAACACUGGCCACAGACACAGCACGGUUUUCGCUCCCAGAGCUUCGAGGUUCACUGUACAGAAGCCUUAGGUCUCAGUCCAGAGAUGCUGUGGGGUUGACUGAACUGGUUUACUGCAUUCCUGGCAGAUGGCUAUAGAGACGUUUUUAAUAAGACUAUUAAUAGAAGUUAUGCAUUAGGGAAUGUCUAAUGAAUCAACUGAUAGAGACAUUGUCUGGUGAUCACAACUUAUGCUGACUAUAGCUGAUCUCUUCUCUCUCUCUUUCUCUCUCUCUCUCUCUCUCCCCACCCCCACACUGUGUGUGUGUGUGUAUGUGUGUGUGUGUGUGUAUGCCAACAGCGUUCGUUAUGUUAUGUUGGUGAUAUAUCUUUCCGCAGCAUCGUUCUGUAGUCAGAGUUUAUUUGAAGAUAAGCUCCUACAGUCAUAGCCCUAUCACCCCAGCACUCCAGAGUCCAGCCUGGGGUUCACAUUGAGACUAUGUCUCUAAACCUAAGGGGAGGAUGGGAGAAAAUAAUAAGAGAUAAUAAGCCCACUGAAGUAUAAACUUCAUUUAAAAUUAUAAUGCAAUCAGAUUUUGUUUUGUCUGAGACAGGGUAUCAUGCAACCCAGGACGGCCUGGGACUCACUGUCUAGUGAAGGACAACCUUGAACUCCUGAUCCUCCUGCCUCUACCUUCCAAGUUCUGGAAUGACAGGCAUGUGCUGCCAUGCCUGCCUCAUAAUCGGACUCUUAAGUUUGUUCAUUUAUUUUCCUCUCAAUCUCUCUCAGUCUCUCUUACUGUGUGUGUGUAUGUGUGUGUAUGUGUGUAUGUGUGUGUAUGUGUGUAUGUGUGUGUUUGUGUGUAUGUGUGUGUAUGUUUGUGUGUAUGUGUGUGUUUGUGUAUAUGUGUGUGUAUGUGUGUGUAUGUGUGUGUAUGUGUGUGUGUAUGUGUGUGUAUGUGUGUGUAUGUGUGUGUUUGUGUGUAUGUGUGUAUGUUUGUGUGUAUGUGUGUAUAUGUGUAUGUGUGUAUGUGUGUGUGUAUGUGUGUAUGUGUGUGUAUGUGUGUGUGUGUGUGUGUGUGUGUGUGUGUGUGUGUGUGUGUGUGUGACGAGACAGCUAGCAGAGUUGGUUUGCCCACUCCUCCUGUCAUGUGAGUCUGAGGAAUUAGGAGGCAGGCCAGCAGGCUAGACAGUCAGUGUCUAUGCCUCCAGCCCAGCGAUCAUAUUCUUAGCAGCCCCUGAUGGUGUUCUUUCCUGCUGGGAAGUGGUAACACUCCCGAAGCUCCCUGCCCACUCAUCUCAACUUCUUUGUGCCAUGAAUCAUUGGUAAUGUUGUUAAAAUGCAGACUUUGAUUCAGUCAGUCUGGAGCGUGGCCCAGGGUUUCGCCUAACAUAAUCCCAUCCCAGGUGAUGCUUGGCGGCUGCUCUGCGGCCAGCACUGUAACGAGGCUGCCACCUGAACACAGGCAAACCCUGCAGUCAGCGAGUGUCCAGCCACACACCUAAUCACUCCUUUGACAGAAGUAUCCUUAUCUGUCCCCCAGCCCUAAAUAACCUAUAGGAUUCUUAGAUGGCAUGGAGACUUUGGGGUUUCCACCAUUCUAAACCUCAACCCUCCUGAUAGGUAGGUCCUUCCUUGUAUAACCCCAACCCACCUCUUAAAAUCCAUACCCCCCAACCUAUCAUUUAGUUCUUCCUUUUCCUCCCUCCAGUGUAAUCCAGUCCUAGCAUAGGAAACAGCAGCAGCUGUCAUGUGCCAGUCUGCGGUUUCCUCUUCUCAGUAGGCUUGUAAAUGCCAGUUCGUGAAGUAGUUAUUAUUCUAACCUCCAUGUUACUGACAAGGAAUUGAGACCUGGUGGGGUAAAUGCAUUGCCCGAAGCCAUGUGAUUAAGUAAAGGAAGCCAAGAGCUGAAGGCCGGCUGUCCUACUCCAAUGUCCAAGGUCCUGGCCUGCCCUGAUACAAGAAGGAACUCACUAACCACAGGAAUGACCUGAAUCUGUUGUGGAGGCUGGGACACUCCCUACCUUUGUCACCUGUCAACAGCUUACCUUGUAAUCACAAGGACAAUUAAACUUCAGCAGACACCUUGGAGUGGGACAUUUAAACUGUAGAGGGCUCCACAUGAGCUUCUGGAUGUAAAUGGGGCCUCCAUAAAACACACUGUGGGGAUGCUCAGAAAACAGGUCUUAUGUAAGGACUAAAAGACACCUGAGAGAGCUAGACCAGCCACACUGAGCAUCCUGCUGUCCGUGGGACCUCUCGGGAACACUUGACAUGAAACUUCUCCUGCCCUUUUGAAGGCCCUUUGGCUUCUAUGCCAGUUACUUUUCUGUCACUGCGAUAAAAUUCCACGACCAGAAGCAACUUCAGGAAGAAAGAGUUUCCGGAUCCAGAGGGGCAUAUCCACCAUGGCUGGAGAAGGCACAGAGAGGUGACAGGAGCAAGGAAGGUGGCUGAGCUUCAAUCCUAAGGUUGAGUGAGAGACUACACACUCUCAAAGCCUGUUUCCAUUGAACUUCCUCCAGCAAGACUUCCCCUUUUUCUACACUGCCCCAGUCCUGGAGAACAGUCUCUUAAAUUAACACACGUCACUAAUAAGCGUGCUUUUCCCUGACCGUGCCCUUCCUUCCCCAGCAGUCACCAUGCAAGCUCUUUGAAGUCUUCCCACCUUUCCGAGUCUGCGUCUUCCUUUCUGUUUCUCUCCGAUGCUAGCCAGAGCCUAAUCACCCUUCCUCUGGGUUCCUGGGGCUUUUUCACCUCUCAGAAACACCUCCCAGUUGCCAUGUGGCUGCUUGUUCAUGCCCCUUUCUCUUUUCUCCAUGUCCCUCCUCCAGGCAGCUGCCAAGAUUUACAGUUUGCCGGCCCUACGGUGUGACUUUUCUUUUUAAAUCCAGAUAUAAAAUGUUCCUGAGCUUUAAAAAUAAAUACACUUCCCCUUGA